GUGGCAGUGAAUGGCAGUAGCUGCAUUUGUAUGUUGUAUUUUUUAAUGCAUAUGCUUAUGUUUUAAUACACUACCUGAUAGAUAAGUCAUAACAAACACAGAAAAAUGUUCCAAACUGUUUACAGCAUCGCAAGGAAGGGAUUGGAAGUGAAUUUGUUAAUUUUCAUGACAAUUGAUGUUUAAAUUUAUAUUCCACUUACAGAGUGCAAUAUAUAGUAAAUUUUUCUUAUUCUUUAGUAGCCAUCGCUA
rnacentral:misc_RNA from 1 species